CACGUAGGAGGCGAGCGUUGUCCGGAAUCAUUGGGCGUAAAGAGCGUGUAGGCGGCUCGGUAAGUCCGCUCUGAAAGCCCGGGGCUCAACCCCGGGAGGCGGGCGGAUACUGUCGGGCUAGAGUCCGGAAGAGGCGAGUGGAAUUCCUGGUGUAGCGGUGAAAUGCGCAGAUAUCAGGAGGAACACCAAUGGCGAAGGCAGCUCGCUGGGACGGUACUGACGCUGAGACGCGAAAGCGUGGGGAGCAAACAGG
rnacentral:rRNA from 1 species